AAAACAAGAUUCACUGGAAGUGCCAUUGGGACAGCAGAGCAGCAGAGGGUGAGGAGGUUCUGUCAGGUCUCUGGCUGGUCUUGUAAACCACACCCCAGGGUGGGGCCAGGGUUUUUAGGCUCAGGCCUCUCUGAUAUGGUAGGCAGGUAUGAAGAGAAUCUUUUCAACUUUUUUUAACCAUUAAUCUUUCUCAAUGCAGCAGGAGACCAUGGGGGUCCUGGGUCUGGGGCUCUGCUUUUCUUCUGAAGCUGAGCCAGGUUCAGUAUCAAGGAGCUGACAUCAAGACACUAAUUGUGAGGGAAAGGAAAGAACAUCUUUAGUUUCCUGAGAUGUUCUGUGGUUCUGUAUGGCUGUUACUCACCAGGAUCUCUAGAGACAGCCCAUCUCCCUCCCUCAACUGAUGUCACCAAAUUCUGAAUGAAAACAACUCCAGGCAAAUAAUGUUCACCACUCCACUUCCUUGUUCCUCCACACCUGCUACUUUGGAUUCAGAAGAGAAUUUCCAAGAAUCCCUGAGUCCACAGCCUGACUCUGGUUUGCAGAACCUGUGUCCAUACCAGCCAGAUGUGAAUACAAAGGAAAGUGACACAUCCUGGAUCUCAACCCACUUCGUUGGGAAGUCUUCCUGAUAAAUUUAGAGAUAACCCAAAGCCCUGGGGACUUCCUCUUGAUUUGAAUCUGCUCUACAUCUGCCCCCUAUCCCCCACCCACAGCAGAUGAAAACAUCAACUCUGCAGAAUUAAUGGAUAUGGGAAUCACCUGGGGACUUCUCCUUAAACUGCAAAUCAUGAUUCAGAGGGUCUGGGGAGGGACCUGAGACUCUGCACUUCUAACAAGCUUGACCGGGGCUGGAGAACCUUCCAUCACUCCACCAAUGCUCACCAUCACUGCCAUUCUCGCUCUUCUUUCUCGGGCCCUUGCCCAUUUUCUCCACCGUAUCCUUCUUUUAUCCUAUUCUUUUCCUCUUUUCAUCCUUCUUUUUUCUUCCCAGCCAUCUCACUAUUCCUAUAUCCCUACUAACCCCCCAACACUUCUUCACUCAAAGAUAAAGAAACUCCUACCCUUUCUUCCUCCAGACACUCAUCUCCCUCCCUCCUCUCCUCAGCUUUGUAGUGCCAGGAAAAGAAAGAUCACCAUUUAUUGACAAUUUUGUGUGAAGCACUGUCCCAAGUGCAUUACCCAUAUUGUUUAAUUCUCACAACAACCCUGCAAAGUACACAUUAUUUCUGCCAUUUUAGACAUGAGAAAAUUGAGACUUGGGAUGGUUAAAGAAAUCUUGUCCUUAACUAGGAAGUAGUGAGCUAAGAUUAGAAUUUAGAUCCGUCUGAGACCAAAGUCUACAACUUUUAUACUGCACCAUGCUCAUAUAAGGUGAAUAAUCUAGAAAGCAGCUGGUAGGAGUGGCUUCAGCAAAAAGGAAUGGAAUACCACAAGCUUCACCCCAUUUAUGCAUCCUGAACACUUCACUCCACUUUUGCUAAGUAGAUGCCCUAUGAGACAGCUUGACAUACCAAUAAUGAGAGCUGUUUCAAGAAUGCCCAGAUUAAAAUGAUGGUUGGGACCUAAAUAGCACAGUAGUAAUAUUAAAGCCCAAAGUUGCCAAUAUGCUCAAUUUUCAAUGUAACCUUUUAUUAUAAAUUAAGAUCCAUAACUGUACGCACAGAGUCUGUUACCAAAAAAGAAAUUCCUUCCAUUGGCCAAGUAUUCAACCACAUGAAGUCUACCAAAGGACAGUGCCAAGCCUCCCAUCAGUCCACACAGGAUCCAUCUUGGACGGAUAGCCAGUUUCUUUCUCUGUCUCUAGUUUCUCUUCCUUGAUUUCACCUCUAGGAUCCCCUCACUCUCUUAUUGUCCUUUGCCUUGUCCUCAAGAUCCUGCCAAGAGUCCUGGCUUCCCACCUGGGAGCAUGUACCAGUUCUUCAAACCUUUGUGUGUUUCUGACACCUCAGACUACAGCAUCUACAAGAUAGACAAAGAGUUCUCUUGCUUAUACUGGCCCUCUCCCUCCCUUGACUUUUAUCAGAUACACCAAAACAAAACAAAAAAUUCCUUUUAAAUUCUGUUAAAGAUCCUGCAAGAUGUGAAGGGAGGAGAAAAGGCAGGGGCUCUGUAUGAGGAAAAUUCCAUCUUGACAUACAAAAAUAUUAAAAGUCUAUAUACUCAAAGGAGAAGUGAAGAAUCAGACUUUUGCAUGUGGAACAGACAGGGAAACUGGGAGCAAUAUGGUGUAGUCAUCAGAUGUGGGUUCUAAAUUCAUCUCUGCUACUAACCGGCAGUGCAACCUUGGGUAAGCUGUGCAUUUUUCUCAAUACCAGUUUCUUCAUCUUUAAAGUGUGGAGAUUGGAUUGAACAAUUACUAAGAUUCCUUUGAUCUCUACCCUGCAGUGUCUUCUCUGGCACCUAAAAUAAAAUAAACCAGAAAUUAA